ACCAGUGUGUCAUAGUGGUUUGAGUGCUGGAUUGUGACUCUGGAUACUAGGGUUCGAUUCUCUGCUCAGCCA